rnacentral:rRNA from 1 species
ACCCGCUGAACUUAAGCAUAUCAAUAAGCGGAGGAAAAGAAACUAACAAGGAUUCCCCUAGUAACUGCGAGUGAAGCGGGAAAAGCUCAAAUUUAAAAUCUGGCGGUCGUUGGCUGUCCGAGUUGUAAUCUAGAGAAGUGUUACCUGUGCUGGACCGUGUACAAGUCUCCUGGAAUGGAGCAUCAUAGAGGGUGAGAAUCCCGUCUUUGACAUGGACUGCCUGUACAUGAUGGUGCGCUCUCGAAGAGUCGAGUUGUUUGGGAAUGCAGCUCAAAAUGGGUGGUAAAUGCCAUCUAAAGCUAAAUAUUGGCGAGAGACCGAUAGCGAACAAGUACCGUGAGGGAAAGAUGAAAAGAACUUUGGAAAGAGAGUUAAACAGUACGUGAAAUUGCUGAAAGGGAAACGCUUGAAGUCAGUCGCGUUGGCUAGAAAUCAGCCUUGCUCUUGCUCGGUGUACUUUCUUGUCGACGGGUCAGCAUCAGUUUUGACCAUUGGAGAAGGACAUUGGGAAUGUGGCAUCCUUGGAUGUGUUAUAGCCCGGUGUCGCAUACGAUGGUUGGGAUUGAGGAACUCAGCACGCCGCAAGGCCGGGUCUCUGACCACGUUCGUGCUUAGGAUGCUGGCAUAAUGGCUUUAAUCGACCCGUCUUGAAACACGG